AUUGAACGCUGGCGGCAGGCCUAACACAUGCAAGUCGAACGAGUGGCGGACGGGUGAGUAAUGUCUGGGAAACUGCCUGAUGGAGGGGGAUCACUACUGGAAACGGUAGCUAAUACCGCAUACCAUCGGAUUUGCCCAGAUGGGAUUAGCGAGUAGGUGGGGUAACGGCUAACCUAGGCGACGAGACCUAGCUGGUCUGAGAGGAGGACCAGACACACUGGAACGGAGAAACGGUCCAGAAUCCUACGGGAGGCAGCAGUGGGGAAUAUUGCACAAUGGGGGAAAGCCGGAUGCAGCCAUGCCGGGUGUAUGAAGAAGGCCUUCGGGUUGUAAAGUACUUUCAGCGGGGAGGCGUUACCCGCAGAAGAAGCACCGGCUAACUCCGUGCCAGCAGCCGCGGUAAUAC
rnacentral:rRNA from 1 species